GUAACUGCAGCUCUAGGAGCGCCUGGCAAAGGAAAAACACCAGACAUUUUCGCCUGGUCAGCAGUAACCAAUUCAUAACCAGGUGGUUUAAUGUCCCAUAAAGAGCGCUUCCUUUUCCACUGAUUUAUUGGUGUUACAUCUCUCAAUUGUUCGAGUUCCUGUUCGAUAGACCUUACGCUUCUUUCUCGGCUGGGAGGUGGACUUCUACUUCUUCCGACAGAUGAAUAACGUAAUGAUCGAGGCUCAUAAUCAUCAUAUCUUCUUUCUCUUCUUGGCCUCUCAUCCUCUCGAUAACUUCUUUCACGAGAUUCUCUAUGUCUACGAAAAUCACUUUCGUCUCGGCGACGUCUUCUAGGUCGUUCAGAGCCAUAAUGGCCUCUCGGGUCUUCCCUUCCUAUCCCACCCGAACCUCUUUCUCGUCUAGGUUCUUCAUCGCGAUAAUCUCUGUGUCGCUUGGGUAUCCGUGAAGAACCUGAUGAUAAUCUGGAAGACAAAUCCAUGUUAGUGAAUGAAUAUGAGGCUAUUUAAAAAAUUAUUCAAAAAAGAAGGGAGGGAAGAAAUUCGUUUAUUAAAAUGAACUCUUAAAUUCUCCGGAAAAAACUUUGAUGAAAGUAGGGAAUACAAAAGUACAAAUUCUAAUGAAAUGAUAUGCGCGUCAAUGCUCUUGGAUUCCUUGCUAAAAAAAAUUUAUAACAUGAACAAUAAUAAUUAACUUAUUUUUUCUUUAUGUGAUACGCCCA